GCAGAACGCGAAGAACCUUACCCACACUUGACAUGUCUCUUGGGACUUUCAGAGAUGAUUGUCUUCGGUUCGGCCGGGGAGAACACAGGUGCUGCAUGGCUGUCGUCAGCUCGUGUCGUGAGAUGUUGGGUUAAGUCCCGCAACGAGCGCAACCCUUGUCGUAUGUUGCCACCAUUUAGUUGGGCACUCAUGCGAGACUGCCGGUGAUAAGCCGGAGGAAGGUGGGGACGACGUCAAGUCAUCAUGCCCCUUAUGCCUUGGGCUACACACGUGUUACAAUGGGCAGGACAAUGCGAUGCAAACUAGCGAUAGUGAGCCAACCGCAAAACCUGUCCUCAGUUCAGAUCGUAGGCUGCAACUCGCCUGCGUGGAAUCGGAAUCGCUAGUAACCGCCGAUCAGCACGC
rnacentral:rRNA from 1 species